GCCAGGCGACCGCCGAGCUUGCGGCGAUCCCCGUCAGGUGCCCAGUAAAGCCAAUGCGCCCAGGUCCGGCGGGGCAAGAGCAGCCGGCGGUUCCGGGCAACUUGGGACUGAGGAUCUGCAGCAGGGGCGUGGAUUUGGCGUCUGGACUGGGCCAGGAGGCCAUUAUAUGAUACAACCGAAAGAGACUGUGUUAUGUAUGCAGUGACCGGAUCCGAAAACCAGCUCAGAAAAGCCCAAUUACACGUAGUAUUUCCACCUGGCAGUGAUAGUCCACGCCUUUGAUCCCAGCACUUAAGAGACAAAGAUGGAAGUCCUCUAUGAGUGUGGAAGCCAUUAACAGAGUAAUUGCUGUCUGUUGCCAUGACAACCAGUCGCUGCAGUCACCUGCCCGAAGUCUUGCCAGACUGCACCACGCGGUGAGCUGUUUACUUAAAUAUUAAGGAGGAAGUCAUGGCGAGAUGCUCCCUCCUUUCAACUUGUUUGGUACUGACAGCUGAUAGAAGCUAUUUUCUAAUAAUAAAUAUCUGGUGUGUGAAAGAC
rnacentral:lncRNA from 1 species